UACGUAGGGUGCGAGCGUUAAUCGGAAUUACUGGGCGUAAAGCGUGCGCAGGCGGUUUGUUAGGCCAGAUGUGAAAUCCCCGGGCUUAACCUGGGAACUGCAUUUGUGACUGGCAAGCUAGAGUAUGGCAGAGGGGGGUAGAAUUCCACGUGUAGCAGUGAAAUGCGUAGAGAUGUGGAGGAAUACCGAUGGCGAAGGCAGCCCCCUGGGCCAAUACUGACGCUCAUGCACGAAAGCGUGGGGAGCAAACAGG
rnacentral:rRNA from 1 species